rnacentral:lncRNA from 1 species
CCCGCAAACAUGUUAGGACUUGUUUUUCAAAACUUCAGUACGAUUAUAGCUUUCUUCCAAAGACCAUGUUGAGAAAAUUAUUAAUCCCCUCUCUCUCUCUUUCUUUCUUUCUCUCUCUCUCUCUCUCUCUCUCUCUCUCACACACACACACACACACACAUACACACACACACACACACACACACACGGUAAUAGCAAAUCUUUAUCAUAUUUUUGACUUCUGUAUUAUAAUUGAAAUGAGAGUAAACAUACCUAGUCAAAUCCACAGAUGAUUCAGAAUCUUCACUUUAGCCAGGAAGUUAAUUAUCCUCCCUAGAAUAAUCGCUUACCAUACCUUUUUAAUAAAAAUUCAGGUAUUAGAUAUUUUACCGUUUUUGUGCCUGGGACCCUAUGAUUGAAGAUACAAGUAUUCAAUAAUGAGUGAAAAGAAAGAGCAAGAAAAAAGAAGCAAGGGGACUGGAUGAUCCAUAAAGUCAAUACUUAAAUUAGUUCUUGAAUAAUCAGGUUAUUAACAAUUAAAAGGCACGUAAAGCUUACCACUUUGAAUUUAAAAUGUGCUUUCCAAAAAUUGCAAAUCUAGGGCU